rnacentral:miRNA from 1 species
CACUACCUUGAUCAACGGGCACUGUACUGAAGGAGAUGUAAACACUGCUCUUCAUCUACAUGACGAAAUGAUUAAAAAGGGGUUGCUUCCUGAUGUUGUUACUUACAGCGUGCUGAUUAAUGGGC